GCUUAGAAGUAAACGGAUGGUGCUGACAUUGUUUCUGCCGAAUUCAGCUGGUCUGAUGGUUGAUCGUCUGUUGGCUGAUCGCAAGACGGCUUUCAGAGUGUACUUGACCUAGGACCGGUGCAUUUUCGGUAGAAUGCAUCAUGACCGUUGACGACGCUGGCAGAUGGCCGACUUGUUGCCGACUAUGGGUUUUCGGACCUGUAGUGCCCCACUUGUCGUGUCCUGUCCGGGUUGGCGUCAACGGAUAACUGGACGUGCCCGUCUCUCUCAACUAGUGCUACCUUUCGGCUGAAUGACUCGUCUAGUCGUACUUGUACGACGGGGCAAACCUCAGUCGUUUGUGUGGUGUUAGCUUGAGUUGGCACUGAAGGUCUAUGGUGUCCGCGUCAGUCUCCCAUCCGACCCGUCUUGAAACACGGACCAAGGAGUCUAACAUGUGCGCAAGUCAUGGGGUGGAAAACCCAAAGGCGUAAUGAAAGUAAAGGCCGCAAGGCCGAGGUGUGAUGUCCUGUUUAACAGGACCGCAACACCGUCCCAUCGCAUCGGCUUGUCCGGGCGGUGGAGAAAGAGCGUACAUGUUGGGACCCGAAAGAUGGUGAACUAUGCCUGAGCAGGAUGAAGCCAGAGGAAACUCUGGUGGAGGUCCGUAGCGGUUC
rnacentral:rRNA from 1 species